rnacentral:sRNA from 1 species
GAUAGAGAGAGAAGAGAGACCCACAAAA